AUUGAACGCUGGCGGCAGGCCUAACACAUGCAAGUCGAGCGGAUGAAGAGAGCUUGCUCUCUGAUUUAGCGGCGGACGGGUGAGUAAUGCCUAGGAAUCUGCCUGGUAGUGGGGGAUAACGUCCGGAAACGGGCGCUAAUACUGCGUACGUCCUACGGGAGAAAGCAGGGGACCUUCGGGCCUUGCGCUAUCAGACGAGCCGAGGUCGGAUUAGCUAGUUGGUGAGGUAAUGGCUCACCAAGGCGACGAUCCGUAACUGGUCUGAGAGGAUGAUCAGUCACACUGGAACUGAGACACGGUCCAGACUCCUACGGGAGGCAGCAGUGGGGAAUAUUGGACAAUGGGCGAAAGCCUGAUCCAGCCAUGCCGCGUGUGUGAAGAAGGUCUUCGGAUUGUAAAGCACUUUAAGUUGGGAGGAAGGGCAGUAAGUUAAUACCUUGCUGUUUUGACGUUACCGACAGAAUAAGCACCGGCUAACUUCGUGCCAGCCGCCGCCGUAA
rnacentral:rRNA from 1 species